AAAGGUUUAGUUAAAAUAUAACAUUAGAAUGUCAUACUAAAAUUAUUUAGUAUAAAUAACCUUUG
rnacentral:tRNA from 1 species